GAAAUGUUUUUCCUUAACGUCGUAAUACGUUGACUAUGUACUAUCGCGAGUGAAAGUAAACCCCAAAUUGGGGUCCAAAGUUCGGGCUGAAUUUUGUGGUGGAGGAUCCACCGCAGCCUACUACUACGUUGGGUAGUACACUCGCCGCAGCCACACCUACACUGCGCUACGCUUCUCUCGUCAGUCGGAAGACCACCCCGUCUCAAGCACCGGGCGGCCCUGAGUACAGUCGGCCACAGUUCAGCGCCCGCGCACACCCAGGCGAGAGUACCUAACCGCAGAGUAAAGUGGAUAUUGUGUGGAUUUAUAAAACCAAACUUACGACCCUCUUGGCCAUUUAGUUUUUUUUAGUUUUUUUAGUUAAAUUAAAUAUUCUUUUGCACGAA